CGGCGGACGGGUGAGUAAUGCCUAGGAAUCUGCCUGGUAGUGGGGGACAACGUUUCGAAAGGAACGCUAAUACCGCAUACGUCCUACGGGAGAAAGCAGGGGACCUUCGGGCCUUGCGCUAUCAGAUGAGCCUAGGUCGGAUUAGCUAGUUGGUGAGGUAAUGGCUCACCAGGGCGACGAUCCGUAACUGGUCUGAGAGGAUGAUCAGUCACACUGGAACUGAGACACGGUCCAGACUCCUACGGGAGGCAGCAGCU
rnacentral:rRNA from 1 species